rnacentral:tmRNA from 1 species
GGGGCUAUUUGGUUUUGACAGCAGGUAGAAUGGUUGUGUAAGCACGCCGAGCAAUGAGGCAACGCUCGUUAAUCUCGCUUCGAAAUCUAACUGGCAACACUUCUUAUGCUCUCGCUGCCUGAUUGAAGUAUAGUAGAUCGGCCUUUUCGGGCGCAAGGCGCCUGAACGAGACGUCGCUCCAAGCCGAGUCUGUGGGCUGAAGGACCAAGCGGCGCAGAAAUACACAGAAUAGGAUUCGCAGGCUGCGAUGCGAUUCUGAAAACUAAGCAGAUAAGCCGGUGGUUGGUGGCUCGGGUCUUGCCGCCGGACGAAAAACAAGGCCGGGAUAAGCGUGUAGAAAGCGCAGGUGUUCCUUGUUUGGACACGGGUUCGAAUCCCGUUAGCUCCACA